rnacentral:rRNA from 1 species
CACGGGGGGAGCAAGCGUUGUUCGGAAUUACUGGGCGUAAAGGGCGCGUAGGCGGCCCUCUAAGUCCCGUGUGAAAGCCCCCGGCUCAACCGGGGAACUGCACGGGAAACUGGAAGGCUUGAGUUCGGGAGAGGGAAGCGGAAUUCCGGGUGUAGCGGUGAAAUGCGUAGAUAUCCGGAGAACACCGGUGGCGAAGGCGGCUUCCUGGACCGACACUGACGCUGAGGCGCGAAAGCUAGGGGAGCAAACGGG